rnacentral:tRNA from 2 species
GCCAACAUAGCUUAACUGGUAAAGCAGGGCCGUUAGGUUCAGUUCCGGGUUCAAGUCCCGCUGUUGGAUA